AUAAUAAAAAUAUCCUACAGAAAAAUGGAUACAACACAAAUUUAAUUUUGAAACUAACACCACAAAAACAAAAUGGGGUAUUUUUACAUACAGUGGAAAAGAAGUAAGACAAAAUUAUUAAAAAACACACAACUUAGAACAGCAUUUCGCACAAAAAACACAAUCAGCAACACACUGAGAUCGGAAAAUAUGACAAUAGCGUCAUAUACCAAAUGAAAUGCUUGGAUUGCCCAGUGAAAUACACUGCCCAAACUGGAAUGACAUUUAAAAUGAGAUACAAGGAGCACAUUCAAGCUAUUAGGAGUAACUGCAACAAAUCAGAAUAUUUGAACCAUAUAUUAAAUACGGGACACUCUUGUGGCAAAAUAGAGGAUACUAUGGACGUCGCAAGAAUCUGUAGAAAAGGUAAACACUUGAAUACACUGGAAAGAUACCACAUCUAAAAAAUAUACAAAAAUGUACAUAUAGAAACACACAACCCAAGAACUCUACGAUAGAUAGCACUGGACACACCAUACAGAAUAAGGUAGAAGCAAGAGCAAUGACAUUAUGUUCAGUAUACUAGUAGACCACAAUGGGGACACUGACAUAGGGAAACACGAUGACAAACAUUAAGUACACAUAUAUAUAUGAUAGCAUCAAGGAAGUCAAAAAAGCAUAUUCUAGUCCUAUUGCAUGUUGUAUGUUAAGUGAUAACAGCCGCAAAAUAGCUGGAUAAAAAUAAAAUUUAACAACUAGCAUGAAUAAUGACGUGCAUGAGAGACACACGGGAAACAAAUAUCGUGCAAUGGUCUCACUCGAGGAUAGAAUUCACCUCAUGAUGGCCCAAUGAGGCCGAAACAUGUUAUGAAGAUAAAUUACUUAAAACCAAGACAAGUUGAGUGUUGACAUUCACUUUUAAUGUGUAAAUUUAUAUGCUAACAUAAUAACCUACAGGCAUUUUAUUGAUUUUAACUGUCACGGUAUUAAAAUGCAUUUUUAGUGAAAAACAUAUUCCUAAUGUCUUUUUAAAGUUGUAUUAUUGACGGAAACAUUAGUAAAAUAGGAUAAUGUCUCAAUACAAUGGGGUGCUGAAGUAUAAUUCCUCUCCCUUAGGUAGAAUUUUGAUUAUAUAUUGUAAAAAUGAAGCUAAGUCCUUCACAUUUAUUUCUGAACAUUUCCCAGCACCAAGACAAUUGUGACACUUAUGUAUUUGGAUGAACAGAACCUUUUCUACUUACUCUCUGCAUUCGAACCAUGACUAUGAUAUGAAUUCAGUCUUGAUCCUUUUUGAUUGGGCCUCACAUCAAGUGGAACUAUUACAAAAUAAAGAAGAGAACUUGGAUAUUCCUGAAAACAUCGUCAUAGUUCAUAAAGACAACUGUAAUCAUUUUGGAGUAAUCUUUAAUCCUUUGUAGAUUGCUAGUUUUAAAGACUUGGAUCUUAUCCAUUGACUAGGUUUGUUUGAAGUUCAAUGAAUCCAGAUGUUAUCUCCAGUUUCUAAGUUUCUUCAGGCUUUUGUCAGCAUUUGUCUUGGGGCUAAUGUGCUUGACAGGUAAAAUCUAUCAUAAUCUAUGAAGAUUCGAAAAGAAAUAGUGUUUUGUCAAUUUAAGAUUCCAUUUCUAGAAUUAUGAUUUCUUACUCUUCAGUAUGUUUCAUUGUUUUUACAUCACCAUUUUACUCUUGUUUCCCCUUUCACUGUGUUAUAUCAAUGAAGUAUAUGUAUUGUCUUGUAAGGAGAUUGUUAAGAAAAAUAAAUGUUAUAAGAAUAUUUAUAA